AUGAACGCUGGCGGCGUGCCUAAUACAUGCAAGUCGAGCGAACGGACGAGAAGCUCGCUUCUCUGAUGUUAGCGGCGGACGGGUGAGUAACACGUGGAUAACCUACCUAUAAGACUGGGAUAACUUCGGGAAACCGGAGCUAAUACCGGAUAAUAUUUUGAACCGCAUGGUUCAAAAGUGAAAGACGGUCUUGCUGUCACUUAUAGAUGGAUCCGCGCUGCAUUAGCUAGUUGGUAAGGUAACGGCUUACCAAGGCAACGAUGCAUAGCCGACCUGAGAGGGUGAUCGGCCACACUGGAACUGAGACACGGUCCAGACUCCUACGGGAGGCAGCAGUAGGGAAUCUUCCGCAAUGGGCGAAAGCCUGACGGAGCAACGCCGCGUGAGUGAUGAAGGUCUUCGGAUCGUAAAACUCUGUUAUUAGGGAAGAACAUAUGUGUAAGUAACUGUGCACAUCUUGACGGUACCUAAUCAGAAAGCCACGGCUAACUACGUG
rnacentral:rRNA from 1 species